CAUGGAAGUUCCCAGGAGGGGUCAAAUCAGAGCUACAGCCACCGGCCUACGCCACAGCCACAGCAACGUGGGAUUCGAGCUGCAUCUGUCAUCUACACCACAGCUCAAGGCAACGCCAGAUCCUUCACCCACUGAGUGAGGCCAGGGAUCGAACCUAUAUCCUCAUGGAUACUAGUCAAAUUUGUUUUGGCUGAGCCACAACAGGAACUCCAGACAGGACAUCUUCAUCCAGAGCAGCUGAAACUAGAGAUAGAGGCUUUGCACGACUGUGGAUUUAGAAGCUGCCUGCAUUAAGAUUCAUGGAUAAAAUGUAUUUUGGUUCCAAAUAUGCACCCUAAGAGAAAAGUCAUAAAUGUUAAUUUCAGUAUAUGUCUACAGUCCAACUGCUUCCUCUUCAUGGGCAUAUUUAGACAGAUGAUUCUAUGGAGAGUAACAAUGGGAUUGAAAUAUUUUUUAAUUUAAUGAUGGGGGAUGAUGGAAAAGUUGUGGAGAUAUAGAGCAGUGACGGUUGUACAACAAUGCAAAUGUGCUUAAUGCCAUGGAACUGAGCAUAAAAAAAAUGAUUAAAAUGGCAAGUUGUAUGCUGUGUAUAUUUUACUGCAAUAAAAAAUGCACAAAUUUUAAAAUUAAGUUUAAUGAUGAGUACCAGUCUCUUGCAUAACAAUGAGGAGGCCAAUUAGUAAUAGGACAUAGCUUUAGCCCCUCUGUUGAAAAAAGCGUUUUUGAUGACUAAUUGAAUCAUUGAAAAGAGGUUUCUUGAGGGGUCAAAUACCAGAUUAAGCUCAAUAUGGUUCCAAAGUUAGUGUAAUGUUUUUGCAAUGGAGAUUCUGAUAUCAGACUUAUACUGAGAAGAAGACCCUGUCAGCACAGCUCAGGCCAGAGGUAGUCUCCAUGCUCCCUGCAACAACACCCACAGGUAAACACAGCGCUCCAGCUUUCAGUCUGGGUUAGUUCAGCGAUGAAAGACUUUAGCUAUAUGUCAAACUCUGAGUUUAAGUUAAAUUUAAAUCCAUCACAGUUACAAGAACUUCUCUAGGAGUUCCUUUCAUGGCUCAGCAGUUAACAACCCGACCAGGAUCCAUGAGGAUGCAGGUUCCAUCUCUGGCCUCGGCUCAGUGGGUUAAGCAUCAGCUUGGCCAUGAGCUACGUGUAGGUCGCAGACAUGGCUCAGAUCCUGCAUUGCUCUGGCUGUGGUGUAGGCCGGCAGCUAUAGCUCCGAUUGGACCCCUAGCCUGGGAAGCUCCAUAUGCUAUGGGCGCGGCCCUAAAAUAGCAAACAAAACAAAACAAAACGAACUUCUCUUAAAUGGCAGUCAAAUAUGCUCUGAACAUGCUAGAAAACUGCUCACUAGUACCAAACAAUAUGUGAUUGUGUAUGCAUUCAUACGUGGUCACAUGCUUUGCAGAACAAAGGAAAAGUAUGACAUGGUUCCUAGCCUUCAGAAGCAUGUUGCCUAGUUAGACAGUAGCCUUCUGUCGGCUUCUAGAGUAGAUCUAGUUCAUUCUUUCCUCAAGGACUUUACAUCUGCAUUUCUUCCGUCUGAAAUGCUAAACCUCUAUGGUUUUCAUGUUUGGCCUUUUCGAGAAAGACAGAUCAGAGCUCAAAGCCCUACAAAGGUCUUAUCUGAACAGCUGAACAUCUCAUGUAAAAUACUCUGUCUCCCUCUACUCUACUGAUAUCAUCAUCAUCUGAUUGAUUGAUUUUCAAUCUCCACUCUAGAAUAUAGCUCCCAUACAAACUUUUUUUUUUUAUUGCUCAGUGCAUUUUAUGACAUUUAUAGUUUUACAACGAUCAUCACAACCCAAUUUUAUAGCAUUUCCAUUCCAAACACCCAGCUAUCCCCCACCCCAAGCUGUCUCAUUUGGAAAACAUAAGUUUUUCAAAGUCUGUGAGUCAGUAUCUGUUCUGCAAAGAAGUUCACUGUGUCCUUUUUCAGAUUCCACAUGUAAGUGAUAGCAUUUGAUGUUGGUGUCUCACUGUCCGACUGACUUCACUUAGCAUGAUAAUUUCUGGGUCCAUCCAUGUUGCUGCAAGUGCCAUUAUUUCUUUCCUUUUAAUGGCUGAGUACUAUUCCAUUGUGGAUAUAUACCACAUCUUCUUGAUCCACUCCUCUGUCAGUGGACAUUUAGGUUGUUUCCAUGUCUUGGCUAUUGUAUACAGUGCUGCAAUGAACAUUGGAGAACAUGUGUCUUUUUGAGUCAUGGUUUUCUCUGGAUAGAUUCCCAGGAUUGGGAUUGCUGGAUCAAACGGUAAUUCUACUUUUAGUUUUCUGAGGAAUCUCCUUACUGUUUUCCACAGUGGAUGCACCAAUUUACAUUCCUACCAGCAGUGUAAUAGGGUUCCCUUUUCUCAGCACCUCUUCAGCAUUUAUUGUUUGUAGACUUUUGGAUGAUGGCCAUUCUGGUCAGUGUAAGGUGUACCUCAUAGUGGUUUUGAUUUGAGCUCAGAUUCAGUACCUGGCCUGAGAACUUCUGUGUGCCACAGGUGUGGCAAAAAAAGAAAAAAUUUCCUCAUGAACUCAUGAACAUUCAUAAUAAGUGAGAUAAAUCAAGACCACAAAAAGCCUCAUGGCAGCUCAGGGCAGUUUUUCCACUAGGUAAGUUUUGGAGAUAGAAAAAAAGAAAAAAAAUAGGUGUUCUCAUUGUGGUUCAGUGGGUUAAGGACCCAAGGUUGUCUCUGUGAGGAUGUGGGUUCAAAUUCCUGGCCUCACUCAUGACAUGGGUUAAGAAUCCAGUGUGGCUGCAAGCUGUAGUUCACAGAUGUGGCUUGCAUCUGGCAUUGCUGUGGCUGUGGUGUCGGCUGCAGCUGCAGGCUCCAAUUGGAUCCCUAGCCUGGGAACUUCCAUGUGCCCUAGGUGUAGCCUUAAAAAGAAAAAGAGGCACUCAGUAAACAUUUGAGUUACAUGUUUAUUUAACUAGGUAUAGGUAGAGUCAAAUAUUUGUUGAAUUAAAAGGCCAGGAUGAGUACUGUGGUGCAGUGACACAGCUAGGAGGGACAAAGCCAGAAAGCAAGCUCUCCUUAGUCUAGCUUGUCAUUAUAUCUAGGAAAGCAUGGGAUCAGAAAGUUGUAAGGAAGGAGAUCUAGGCA
rnacentral:lncRNA from 1 species